rnacentral:rRNA from 1 species
CAGCCGCCGCGGGAAUACAGAGGGUGCGAGCGUUAAUCGGAUUUACUGGGCGUAAAGCGUGCGUAGGCGGCUUCUUAAGUCGGAUGUGAAAUCCCUGAGCUUAACUUAGGAAUUGCAUUCGAUACUGGGAAGCUAGAGUAUGGGAGAGGAUGGUAGAAUUCCAGGUGUAGCGGUGAAAUGCGUAGAGAUCUGGAGGAAUACCUAUGGCGAAGGCAGCCAUCUGGCCUAAUACUGACGCUGAGGUACGAAAGCAUGGGGAGCAAACAGGAUUAGAUACCCCUGUAGUCCCUGUCUCUUAUAC